rnacentral:rRNA from 1 species
AACAAACGCUGGCGGCGUGCCUAAUACAUGCAAGUCGAACGGGGUAGCAAUACCUAGUGGCGCACGGGUGAGGAACGCGUGGAUAAUCUGCCUUAGAGGGGGGGAUAACUAGUCGAAAGUUUAGCUAAUACCGCAUAAGACCACAGGAGCUGCGGCACUCGAGGUCAAAGGUUUUUCGCUCUAAGAUGAGUCCACGUAAGAUUAGCUAGUUGGUGAGGUAACGGAUCACCAAGGAGACGAUCUUUACCUGGUCUGAGAGGAUGAUCAGUCACACUGGAACUGAGACACGGUCCAGACUCCUACGGGAGGCAGCAGUAGGGAAUAUUGCACAAUGGAGGAAACUCUGAUGCAGCGACGCCGCGUGAGUGAUGAAGGCCUUCGGGUCGUAAAGCUCUGUCGCAGGGGAAUAACACAAUGAAUGUACCCUGUAAGAAAGGAUCGGCUAACUUCGUGCCAGCAGCCGCAGUAAUAC